CCAUAAAAACCCAAAAGGACUGGGUUCAGAGAGGUUCUGGAUAACACUUCCUGGAAGGUAGUGCGCCCCUCCCCACAUGCCGGGCCCCACAUUUAUUUCUGAACUUUUUGCAAUGUCCGCUAAAAUACAACGGCAAAUGUAAGUGUUUCCCUGAGUGCCGUGAGCUCUUCCAGCAAAUGAAUGCAACUAAAUCUGGGAGUGGUGGCAACCUGAUUUAUAGCCAGUUGCUGAGAAGCACAGGUAAAACAACGUAGGGCUUCCCGUUGUUAUUAGUGUGGGAGGCCUGCCUGGCGGGACUCGGCCCUUUGGAAUCUAAUGCUAUGUCCCGGUAGAUAGCGUCACCAUUGAAUUAGAAGACACACAUAUGUUGAGAAUAAUCUUUCUGGUCAUUUGCUGCAUGUCUUAUUUACAAUAUGUAAUCAAAUUCUUUAUCCUGACCUUAUGGCACCUGGGUUGAGAACCAUGAUUUGAACCAAACAUUGGUCUGUCACUUUCUGAGUUUGAAACUUUAUUUUGCCUUUAGCGUUUUGCUAUUGCUUUUUCGUUUUCUUUUGUUUCGUUUCGUUUCUAAGUUCUGGGGUGUAUGUGCAGGAUGGGCAGAUUUGUUACUAAGGUAAACGUGUGCCAUGGUGGUUUGCUGCACCUGUCAACCCAUCACCUAGGUAUUAAGCCCAGCAUGCAGUAGCUGUUUUUCUUAACGCUCUGCCUCCCGAAAGGCCCCAGUGUGUGUUGUUCCCCUUCCUGUGUCCAUGUGAUCUCAUUUUUCAGCUCCCAUUAUAAGUGAGAAUGUGGCGUUUGGUUUUCUUUCCCUGGAUUAGUUUGCUGAGGA
rnacentral:lncRNA from 1 species